UCCCCUGUAGCUCAGUGGUAGAGCAGCUGACUGUUAAUCAGCGGGUCGCUGGUUCAAGCCCAGCCGGGGGAG
rnacentral:tRNA from 1 species